AACAACAUGCAUCUGCUUUUCGGUAGCUUAUCUCAUAAGAACUUCACAGUUAAGCGUGCUUGACUUGGAGUAAUAUAGGGAUGGGUGACCUUCUGAAAAGUUUACCAAAAAUUGUGUAAUUA
rfam:Cajanus cajan Scaffold135491_5, whole genome shotgun sequence.